CCUACGGGUGGCAGCAGUAGGGAAUAUUGCUCAAUGGGGGAAACCCUGAAGCAGCAACGCCGCGUGGAGGAUGAAGGUUUUCGGAUUGUAAACUCCUUUUGUUAGAGAAGAUAAUGACGGUAUCUAACGAAUAAGCACCGGCUAACUCCGUGCCAGCAGCCGCGGUAAUACGGAGGGUGCAAGCGUUACUCGGAAUCACUGGGCGUAAAGAGCGCGUAGGCGGGAUAGCAAGUCAGAUGUGAAAUCCUAUGGCUUAACCAUAGAACUGCAUUUGAAACUGUUAUUCUAGAGUAUGGGAGAGGUAGGUGGAAUUCUUGGUGUAGGGGUGAAAUGCGUAGAGAUCAAGAGGAAUACUCAUGGCGAAGGCGACCUGCUAGAACAUAACUGACGCUGAGGCGCGAAAGCGUGGGGAGCAAACAGGAUUAGAUACCCGGGUAGUC
rnacentral:rRNA from 1 species